UGGAGAAACCUUUUUCCCUCCUCCUUUUUUAUUGGCGGAGGCGGAGAAGCGGAAACUACAGUGUUGCAGGCGCUGACCCGCUCGUUGUAAUGUCAGCAAACAAUUUAUCAGAAGCAGCGACAUUACUUCAGAGUUUGUUAGGAUCUACGCAGACUCUGGCAAAUGCGUCUACAGACGGCCAGCAGCCGACUACUUCGGUCGGAUCCGUUGACAACCGCUUAGCAAUGCUUUUCCCGUCACAUCAGGCUGGUAGCGGCUCCGGUGCUACCAGGGGAUCUCCGCCUCUACCGUUAGGUGCUAAUAUGCCUGGAUGUACGCCACGCUAUCAAGCACAGAAGCACUUUAGUUCGUGGACGACCUGCUCAAGAAAAAAAAGAAUGAAGACACAGCAACAUGGCAAUUUCCACAAUGACGUGAUACUACUCCCCAAUCCAUCAUGGGGAAUUGUGUGCAAGCAAGGUCCGAAAUUACGUUUACACAAGCAUGGGCACAUCCUCAGUGCCUUUGAAUUCCAGAAGGCCUGGGACUAUCAGACAAUUGUACAACACAUCAGGGAUGGCUUUGGUGGGCGCAUUCCAGAAGAUGUCAGCAUCCAGUUUUUAAUGUCUUGUGGCAAUAAGCUGGUGACCCCAAAACUCCAGGAGGGACAAGAGCUGAAUGGGAUAAUGUUCCAUAAGGUUUAUAAAUCCAAAGCCCUCUAUGUGAGACCAUCAACGACCCUUUUAACUGACAUGGAUGAUGAAAAUGAACUUUCCCACGCCACUACCAGAGCAAUGUCAGGUGACAGCGAUGAAGACUGUGUUGAAUUAGUUGGUCCACAAAUCCCCAUGGGCAGAAGUGGGCAGGCUACCACAAGGUCUGCUGCAAAGUUUGGCUGUCAUAGUGGUCACAGUGGAGAUGGCAACCAUCGCACUAAAACUGCUAAUGAAGACUGCAGUGGUGCCAAUAACAUUACCACCAGUACUAUCAAAAACUGCAAAGUAAUAACUCCUGGCACGAGUGGACAUGAUGCAGAAGAUAAUGCAAGAAGUGAUGGCAACUCUGCUCCUGGUUGUGAUGAAGACUACAUCUCAUAUGUAACAGUUGUAGCUAGUCUUUCUGAUGAAUCUUCUGAUGACGAGGAACUAAACAAAGCGAUAACAGCUAGUUUGGAGAGUCAUCUUACAGAAAAGGUGCCAGUUGAUGUGAUACUGCAGGAGUUGUCAAGGAAAAUUUGCACACAACGGCAGUGCAAAUUCAAUAUAAACCGUGCUGCUAUCUGGGAUGGGGCAAAGCGAGGCUUCCAAAGGGUAUCCUAUGACCCCACCUACAGAAUGUGUGUAAAAUUUUCAGAUGACAUGGGGAGAAUUGAGGAAGGGGUGGAUUUGGGGGGCCCAAGGAGAGAGUUUUUGAGGCUGCUGAUGGAGACUAUUGCCAUGUCCUCCAUGUUUGAGGGAAAAGAAAACAGGAAGAACCUGGCUCUGGACAGUACUGCUCUAAGAGAGGACUGGUACUACAUAGCUGGCAGAGCCAUUGCAGUUAGCUUAGUACAUGGCGGUCCACCCCCAAAUUUCCUCUCCCCAACAGUAUUUUCUCUUUUGGUUGAUGGCUCAGCCAAUCCAGUCCUAGAAGAUAUUGCUGACACAGAACUUUUGGAAAAAGUUAAAAAGGUAUCUGAAAGUACAACUCUUGAAGACCUUGAGAAGUCAAAGGCUCCUCUACUUGACUAUUUGGCCAAUGCAGGAUGCCUGAGGCCUAUGCGGUCAGUAGGAGACAGGGAUCUACUGGUGCAUGACAUUGUCAUGUUUCAGGUUAUCUACAGGGUGCAGUGUCCAUUUCAAAGAUUCUGUGAGGGACUAAAAACUCUUGGGGUCCUGGAGAAAAUCCAAAGACAUCCUGAUAGCUUUCGUCCUUUGUUCUGCUUUGAGCCAAGCCCACUGACUGCUGACCUGAUGGAUGAUUUGUUCAGCAUUCAUCUGUCUCCUGAAGGAAGCAACAAGAGAGUUGCUGAGGAGAUGGUUGUUACAUUCUGGAGAGACUAUCUCCAGGAUGCAGAGGAGGAGGAAGGGCCCUCCAAACUACAGAAAAUAUUGGCCUUCGCAACUGGAGCAUCUGUUGUACCACCCAUUGGCUUUUCACCAAGCCCUUCCAUCCAGUUCAUUCACAAAGGAGAUGACGACUUCUCCUGUACACCAAUGUUCCCCAUGGCCAACACGUGUGUUAACUGUAUCAAGUUACCACUACACGUGUCAUACCUGCUGUUCAAGGAGAAGUUUGACUUCGCACUCGGCAACACAUAUGGGUUUGGCAGGGCAUGAACACAUCAUACUCUAUUUUACCUUUCUUUCUCUGCUUGUCUAGGUCUGUCUUAAAAAACUAAAGGGCCACUGUUAGUUGCAUUUGAAUGCCCACCUUGCUGGUUCCAGUCAGAGGGUGCAGACCUAUUUUUCCACCCCCCAAAGGGAAGGCAAGGGCUGGAUGGAUUCCAAUGUUGUUUAUGACACCUGUAUGCCACAGCUGAAGAGGCGUCUGCCCUCCUUGUGUGGAGAGGCCAUGGUUGUUCCACUGGUUCAUAAAUUCUGUCACAGCCUGUUCAAUUCUUGGUAAGUAAAUAUAAUGGAGACAAAAUAGAUGUAAUUCAUUCAAUGAAUCAAGUAACCCAUGUUCUUCCAUGAAGCUAAAGAUAUUUGCAAAAUGUCUUGUUACAACUCUAUUGAGUUCUGCCCACAGUCUCUCAAUCCUUUGGUUAUGUACUGAGACGCCUGUAAUAACACUGUUCAGUCCUCUUCUUUCUAACAUGAAACGAGCAACAUGUAUAUUUUCCAUACCAUGAUCACACCUGACUCUUAAGGGCAAACCAAAGUUGGCUAUUCCCUCUAAGAAUAAUGACAAUACACUUGAAGCUCUAUUAUUAGAUAAGCAUCGUAGGUAUAUGAUAGUCCGACUGAAGCCAUCCACACAGCCAUGAAAGACCAUCCGCCACCUAACCAGUUUGUGGUUACCAUCAAAAUGCCUGUUGGGAGAUAAGAAUCCACUUUUGAGCAUGUGUAUACUGCAUCACAGUUACAAUGAAAGCAAAAAGUAUAGAGGACUUAAGAUUCUGAAGAAAUAAGUAUUUCUUAAUGUGUUUGGCUACCAUAAAUAAAAAGCUUGACAAAAUACACAAUAAUUGCUAUUAUGGCAGUACAUUGCUUCUUUUACAAAACUCACCAUAAUUGGUUGGGUGCCUGAACACUGUACACCCUUCGAUGUAUGGCAUGACGACGUCUAAAUGACCGCCCAAUUGGAUCAACAUGAUGUAGGCUCAGUCUUAAACGCCACCUUUGGACUCUUAAGCCACGGGAUCUAAGACUUCCCAUUACAUAUGUUUCACCUGCAUUUGGAGUGUUGUGUAAUAUAUCACUAACAAUUGUGUCCAACUCCUGGUUUGAUAAAACUGAAAACUGUAAUGGCUCCACUCCCAGAAUUUGCCUGUGUCUGUACAGGGUUCGCCGACUGAUUCCAAAGCAUGAUGCGAUCCGCUGCCAUGUCAUACCAAUUGACAUGCAGUGCUCUAUCUGUUCGGCAGAUAUGGUGUAUCGAGGCCGACCUCGAUAGCCACUCAGGGUUGUUGGGGGUCUCAAGUUGUUUGGUGUCCCAUUAGUAGAGCUCUGUCUGGCGUAGUGAUCUUGCAGCAAAUGCCAAAAGCAUCUAUACAAAGAUACUAACUGGCUGCUAACACCAGA